rnacentral:rRNA from 1 species
CCAAUAGCGUAUAUUAAAGUUGUUGCAGUUAAAAAGCUCGUAGUUGAAUUUCGGGAUUGACACAUCGGUCGUGCCUUAAGGGGUAUGAACUGGUGUAGUCAAUUUCUCACCUUCUGGAGAACCACGAUGCCCUUAAUUGGGUGUCGCGGGGAACCAGGACCUUUACUUUGAAAAAAUUAGAGUGUUUAAAGCAGGCAUUUUGCUUGAAUACAUUAGCAUG